UUGACUGAAAUCUAAAAUAAGACGGUAAGAGGCAUAAAAGGUGCAAAUAGCAAAAUAAGACAUCAAUAAUUACAGAUAAGUAACUGAAGAAAUGGAAGAGAUGUCUGACAAGUUGUCAGUUGCGGAAGAAGUACGAGGAAUCUGCAACGCUCAAACUGAAGCAAAUGAAUAUUUGGAAGCGAAGAAUAUACCGGAAAUUUUUAACUUCUUACUUGGACAUUUGCUGCUUAAGAAACCCGACGAUCCUGUAGAAUUCCUGGCCACCCUGUUGAUGAAAUGCGUGUCAUUCAGAG